GAUGAACGCUAGCGGCAGGCCUAAUACAUGCAAGUCGAGCGGCAAGUUAGGUAGUAAUACUUGACCUAGAGCGGCGCACGGGUGCGUAACGCGUAUGCAACCUACCUUUUUACUGGGGGGAUAGCCCCGGAGAAAUCCUGGAUUAAUACCCCCAUAGUACCUAAGAAUCGAUUGGUUUUUAGUUUAAAGAUUUAUCGAUGUAAGCUGGGCAUGCGUCCAAUUAGCUAGUUGGUGAGGUAAUGGCUCACCAAGGCAAUGAUUGUAGGGGAACUGAGAGGAUGAUCCGCCACACUGGGACUGAGACACGGCCCAGACUCCUACGGGAGGCAGCAGUGGGGAAUUUUGGACAAUGGGGGAAACCCUGAUCCAGCCAUGCCGCGUGAGUGAA
rnacentral:rRNA from 1 species